AAGCCCAAUAACCCGCAAAUGUCUCAGAAGCACGCGACCACCCUCAUCAGCUCCCUGUGCUCGCGCGGCGCGGUCUGCCACGCCCGCGCACUGUUCGACGAAAUGCCCGAACGCGACGUCGUGGCGUGGACGGCCAUGCUCUCCGGGUACGCCUCCAACGGGCUCCGCCGCGAGGCGCUGGACGUGUUCCGGCGCAUGGUCGCCGCGGGCGCCGCCCCCAACGAGUACACGCUGUCCAGCGUCCUGACCGCGUGCCGCGGCCCCUGCGCCCCCGCGAUGGCGAUGCCCCUGCACGCCGUCGCGGUGCGGCGGGGCGUGGACCGCAUGCCGUACGUCGUGAACGCGCUCAUCGACUCCUACGCGUCGCUCGCGGAGGGCGUCGUGGACGCGAGGAGGCUGUUCGAUGCGUUGGGGAGCGGGCGCACGGCCGCGUCGUGGACGUCGAUGAUCGCUGGGUAUGCCAGGUGGGGACAGGAGCGCACGGGGCUGCGGUUGUUCAAGACGAUGCUUAAGGAUGGUGUCGAAUUGAGCACAUUUGCAUGCUCUAUUGCACUCCAUGCAUGUACAUUAGUAAUCGACUUAUGUCUUGGGCAGCAACUUCAUUUGCAGUGCAUAAAGAAAGCUCUUGAUGUGAACCUUGCUGUUGUAAAUUCUCUGAUCGACAUGUACUGCACUUGUGCAAGAAUUUUGGAUGCAAGAAGCCUUUUUGAUGGAACUCCUGAGAGGAACUUGAUCACUUGGAAUACCAUGAUUGCUGGGUAUAGCCAAUGUGAUCCUCUAAUGGCCUUGCAGCUCCUUCUUGAGAUGAAUGAUGAGCCAAAUUGCUUCACUCUAACUAGCAUUACAUCAGCCUGUGCUGAUCUUGCGGCGCUGAGAUGCGGGAAGCAGGUUCAUGGGGCCGUUCUUCGGAGAAGUUACAGUGAUGACCUACAAAUGGGCAAUGCCCUCGUGGACAUGUACUCAAAGUGUGGGAGCAUAACAAAUGCAAAAAAUGUGUUCGACAGGAUGGGUUGCAAGGACAAGUUUUCAUGGACAUCGAUGAUUGCUGGGUAUGGAAUGAAUGGUUAUGGAAAUGAGGCUGUCCAACUUUUCAGUUCCAUGAUCCAUGCUGGGGUGCAUCCUGACCAUGUUGUGUUCCUGAGCCUAAUAAGUUCUUGCAGCCAUGCUGGUUUAGUAGAUGAAGGAUGGAAUUUCUUCAGGUCAAUGAUAAAUGAGUAUAAUUUGCAGCCUAACAAGGAGGUUUAUGGUAGUGUCGUCAAUCUCCUUGCUCGUGCUGGUAGGCUGAGAGAAGCCUUGGACCUAAUUGAUACGAUGCCAUUUGCUCCUGAUGAAUAUGUUUGGGGAGCAUUGCUUGGUGCCUCCAAGAUGCAUAAUAAUGUGGAGAUGGGCAGACUAGCUGCAAGAAAGAUCACUGAGAUCAAUCCUGAUGAUGUGAAGAAUUAUAUCAUGCUUGCAAGUAUAUAUGCUGCAGGUAGUAAAUGGGGCGAGUAUGCUUUUACAAGGAGGUCUUUGAGAGGCAUAGGGAGCAGGAAGGAGGCUGGAAUCAGUUGGAUAGAGGUAAUGGAUAAGAUGUAUAGCUUUACUGCAGCUGACAGUAGCAGCCCUCAAGUUUGUUUGGCAGAUGAAGUAUUGCAUAUCUUGUCUCAACACAUGGAUGAUGUUGGAAGUGAAUUUUGCCACAUUAUCUUUAAAGCUACAUAACUCAUUGGUGUUUGAACACUCGAUCAGUUGAAAUCAAACAUUUGCUUAGAUUGGUGCUGGAGUUUGGUGUUGUGAGUUGUGAAGUACCUGUUCAGAACCAAACAAUUGUAGACGAAAUCUAAUGAAGAUACAAGAGAUGGUUAUGUUCGCGAAAAAGAAAAAGAGAAGAUAUUUACGUUCGACAUGUGCGUUUUAGCUAGGGACUUCUUUUUUACUCGGAAGAAUGAGAUAUGCACUUUGGAGAAUGCUUCCAGUGAUUGCUUCGGUAAUAUGAAGAAACAGCUGCAAUCUGAAAGGCAGAGGCACUAACACCGUUGCUGGAGACAUCAUGUAUACUAUAGCAGUGAGUUAUUUAGUAAGUAUAUAUAGCGAUCAGGUAAUGAUAUUGAGUUAUUAAUCCAUUUUAUGAAUCAUACAAAUGCUGUCUAUGUUGAGCACUUCUGGCUGCAAUGUUUUAUACACACAUAAAAGGAUCUGCAUGAGUCAAACCUUACGCACGCACAACACAACAUUGUACAGAGAUUUAAGGACUAACAUAUGAUCCUCAUUAAUUUUUGGACUUGGUACAUAUAGAGAUGUAACUUCUGUAAAAAUAAUAGUUUAAUAGAAUGUAACUAUACCACUCUAAGAUCAUACAAUGGGUUAAAUUGAACUUAUGUACCUGAAGGAAACUUAAAAGCAACACCUGUAAUUUGAAUUGCCAUACAUAU